rnacentral:rRNA from 1 species
GGAAAAUCCGGAGGGUCGUUAUCCCCGAGAACUGAGUACGAGGGAACUUCGGUUCCCGAAGUGACUGAUGCCACGCUCCCGGGAAAAGCCUCUAAGCUUCAGGUGGUCGACGACCGUACCGUAAACCGACACUGGUGGGUGAGGAGAUAAUCUCCUAAGGCGCUUGAGAGAACUCGGGUUAAGGAACUCUGCGAAUUGAUACCGUAACUUCGGGAGAAGGUAUGCCGAAUUCGGUGAGGGGACUUGCUCCCUGAGCUGAUUUCGGUCACAGGUAAUCGGGGGCUGCGACUGUUUACCAAAAACACAGGACUCUGCUAACACGAAAGUGGAUGUAUAGGGUCUGACGCCUGCCCGGUGCCGGAAGGUUAAUUGAUGGGGUCAGCCGCAAGGCGAAGCUCCUGAUCGAAGCCCCGGUAAACGGCGGCCGUAACAAUAACGGUCCUAAGGUAGCGAAAUUCCUUGUCGGGUAAGUUCCGACCUGCACGAAAGGCGUAACGCUGGCCCCACUGUCUCGACCCGAGACUCAGUGAAGUUGAAAUCGCUGUGAAGAUGCGGCGUAGCUGCGGAAAGACGGAAAGACCCCGUGAACCUUUACUACAGCUUUACACUGAACUUUGACCUUGUCUGUGUAGGAUAGGUGGGAGCCUUUGAAGCGGGAGCGCUAGCUCUCGUGGAGGCAACCUUGAAAUACCACCCUGAUAAUGUCGGAGUUCUA